rnacentral:rRNA from 1 species
CAGUAGCCGCGGGAAUACGUAGGUGGCAAGCGUUGUCCGGAAUUAUUGGGCGUAAAGCGCGCGCAGGCGGAUAGGUCAGUCUGUCUUAAAAGUUCGGGGCUUAACCCCGUGAUGGGAUGGAAACUGCCAAUCUAGAGUAUCGGAGAGGAAAGUGGAAUUCCUAGUGUAGCGGUGAAAUGCGUAGAUAUUAGGAAGAACACCAGUGGCGAAGGCGACUUUCUGGACGAAAACCAACGCUGAGGCUCGAAAGCGUGGGGAGCAAACAGGAUUAGAUACCCCAGUAGUCCCUGUCUCUUAUACA